rnacentral:rRNA from 1 species
CCUACGGGUGGCAGCAGUGGGGAAUAUUGGGCAAUGGGCGCAAGCCUGACCCAGCAACGCCGCGUGAAGGAAGAAGGCUUUCGGGUUGUAAACUUCUUUUCUCAGGGACGAAGCAAGUGACGGUACCUGAGGAAUAAGCCACGGCUAACUACGUGCCAGCAGCCGCGGUAAUACGUAGGUGGCAAGCGUUAUCCGGAUUUACUGGGUGUAAAGGGCGUGUAGGCGGGGACGCAAGUCAGAUGUGAAAACCACGGGCUCAACCUGUGGCCUGCAUUUGAAACUGUGUUUCUUGAGUACUGGAGAGGCAGACGGAAUUCCUAGUGUAGCGGUGAAAUGCGUAGAUAUUAGGAGGAACACCAGUGGCGAAGGCGGUCUGCUGGACAGCAACUGACGCUGAGGCGCGAAAGCGUGGGGAGCAAACAGGAUUAGAUACCCUUGUAGUC